GCCCUAGUAGCUUAGCCUUAAAGCGCCGGUCUUGUAAUCCGGAGAUCGGGGGUUAAAAUCCCCCUUAGUGCC
rnacentral:tRNA from 1 species